rnacentral:misc_RNA from 1 species
AUAAUCCAAAUGAUUUGAAAUGAACUCUAAAAAACUGGCUUGUUGAAAGCGGCGCGUGAAGUGACCUGGACCUAAAUCAACUUUUACUCGACCCAAUUUCCACUUUUAUGAGUGAAAUUGAGUAAUUGUGUGAGGAUGAUUCAAAAUUCAACACAACAAAAACUUGCUAAGCUGCCUAGAGAUUCUACUUUGAAACUUCACAACUUUGUCUGCAUUCAUGCCCAGCAACAUAGACAUUUAUGAUAUACAUGUAGCAAGGACAGAGCUUUGGAUAGAUUGGACCUAAGGAAUUAGAGUAGCCAUAACUAUCAUGAUGCCUUGAACUUGAUUUUUGUCUUAAAUGAUGGGAUGGGACAAAGCUGAUGCUGAUUAGCAUGGUGGUGGUUGCUGGUGAAUGAUAGUGGAAUGGCAUUAGAAUUACCUUCAUGAGUGAAGUCGGUAAUGAAAAAUGAAAUGAGAAAGUGACAUUCACAUGAGAGGGAGAGAGGAUUGGGGAUUCCAUUAAUGCAGGAGAGAAAAGAGAGGCGAGGAUUAUUCUAAGAAAACAACAUUUAUACUAAAAAUUACAUUGUGGCCACAGCCAGAAUGAUUGUAGCAAUAGGCCCAUCUGCCGUAUCAAUGCAUCUUCAAAGAACUGGCCACAAUAAUAUUUUUGGCUAAAUUUCAUGUUUUGUUUGGUUACUAAUCCUAAAAUGAAAGUAUCAUUGCACGGUUGAUGAAGUACUAUUUUUUUUCAAUCCAUUAAAACUUAUAAUUAUAUUCACACUCAUGAAGAAAGAUUACAUUCAUCCCUCAGAAAAGGAGAUUUAAAUAAAUAAAAUAAAAUUAUAUGAUAUGAAACUCAGCUAAAAAUUUUCAUAUAGGAGCCAAGAAGAUGAGCUGUAAUGCUUAUCCUAACUCUGGCCUAUUUUUCUUGUUCAAUAUUUUUACCCCCAGUAUCACCAUAGAGUAUGACAAUUCAACAGAAAUUAUUAUUUUUUUUCAUCGUUGUUCUGGGACAUUUAAUUCUUGUGGCAAAUAGUGAGUUCUGAGGUUUGUACUCUUUACCCUUUGAAGAAUAUUCUUGAUUUGGUUCAACAUAAAGUUAGGUUCUAUGCAAACAUUAUUAAUAAUUAUCAGUUUUAGUUUUAUUUAUGAGAACAUCUUGUGUACAGAGGAAAGUUGCUUCUGAGAAG